UGUUUCCUACGGGGGGCAGCAGUCGGGAAUAUUGCGCAAUGGAGGAAACUCUGACGCAGUGACGCCGCGUAUAGGAAGAAGGUUUUCGGAUUGUAAACUAUUGUCGUGAGGGAAGAAGAUGACAGUACCUCAGGAGGAAGCUCCGGCUAACUAUGUGCCAGCAGCCGCGGUAAUACGUAGGGGGCAAGCGUUAUCCGGAUUUACUGGGUGUAAAGGGAGCGUAGACGGCAUGGCAAGUCUGAAGUGAAAGCCCGGGGCUCAACCGCGGGACUGCUUUGGAAACUGUUAAGCUGGAGUGCAGGAGG
rnacentral:rRNA from 1 species